AGGUUCUCUGGCUAGCCCACAACGCCCACUUCGUCAUUACUCAUUGCCGUAAUUCUGGCUCCUGACAACAGUAUAAAAAAGGAGAAAUGGGAGAAUGAGACCGGGAGGUCGCCCUGUCUUGGGCCGGUCUGGGAGUCCCACUGAGUCACUGCUCACUUCUGGCCCAGGGAAGGCACAGCUAAGUGAACAUCUAUUGAAUGCCGGCUCUGUGCCAGUCACGUGGGAUACAAAGACCCUCAAGGAGUGGAGGAGACAGACAAGUCAACAGAAAGUAACAGUGUAGGCAGCAGAGCGAUAGCAGAGAUGAGGAAACAGAGGCCCACAAAAUGUGAAACGGCACAUCCCACAUCUCACUGAUGCACACUGCGGAUGCUGUGGGCCGACAUCCACGCCAGACCCAAGCUGCCUCCUUAUCUCUGCAGUGUCCCAGCACCCCUCAGGAGCCAUGGACCAUUGCCCCAGCAUCUUUUAUAUUAGUGCCAGUUAAUAUCUUCUGACCCAGGCUGAGCCACGGAGAUGGGAUGCUCAGGUUGGCGUCUGAAGCAGGCUGAAGGAGCAGCCCCACACUACUGUUUCAACAGCUGAUGAAGUUAAGAGAAGAGGCUGACUAUGGGGACCCAGGGAAGCCUGCUUCGACAGGUCCCUACCUGGAUACUGAAGGACCUCGUCUUCACACAGCCUUGUGGCCCAAGCGCAAACUAGGACCGCACCGGGAAAUCAACUUGAACACUUGCUGAAGAUGAAACAAUUGCAAAUAAAUAAAGAUUCUGUGACUUCAGAGGAUUCAGAAACCCUGGCUGAAGGAAUAUCCUCCCGCUCUCGACUACGUUUGGUGGCAGUGGGCCCAGAAAGAUGACUUUCAAGUUUGGAGACAAGGACAGGAGUCCUUGGGGCAAUAGUUCAGCAUAGGGAAAAGGACUCCACAUGUCAGGGAGGGAGUAUUAAGCUGACAUAGAGAUAUGGUGAUGGGUUGUCUUGGGAGCUGCUCAAAGGAAAUAUUUCUCCUAGUUCCAGGUCUGAAGUCAGCCUUAGAAAGGGAUAUUAGGCUUUUGGUUUUUAGUUUCUGUUUUUGUUUUAACUUAUCCUGGCUUCAGUUUUCCUCUCCACUAUCUCACUCUUCCCUUGGUCUUAAUUUCUUCUUUGGUGACCGUUGGUGACAAGGUUUUGCUUCCACUUAUCCCAUCCCCGUCCCACUCACCCACCCUAUACAAAAACAUUAUCGCUAACCUAUCAGGAGAAAGGAGAGGAGUCAACAUUUUAGUAAGGGAGCAAAUGCAAGGAGUGAAAAAUAAACAACAAAUACAUAAACGAGAAAAGACUUUUUGAAAAGUUAUCUGUUAGCUUACCAAGAGAGACAAGAUUGGGGUGGAGGAAAUCAAAGGGAGGAGUUUUCGCCCUUAAAAUCUGUAUACAACCAUAUUGUUGGAACUUCUUUUUGCCUUAGACACAUGUUACUAUUGUGUUCUUUUUGGGUUUUUUUUUUAUGAUUUUUAAAAAUAUUUAUUUAUUUGUUUAUUUUGGUUGCACCAGGUCUUAGUUGCGGCGGGCAGACUUUUUUUUUUUUUUUUUUACAAGAGUUAAACAAACUGACACCAAGCAUUGUAAGUGGGUGACCACAACAAAAGCAACAAUGAUUGCAAUUACCAAACACGAAACACACUCAUACUGUGUCAUAAUAUUGACAUUCAGUCCAGUAGUCCUCCACUGUAACAGCUCCUUUACUUUGCAGUGAAAGUUGAUUUGUAUAUUUUUUGCCGCUGAGACUAUUGUGUUUUUAAAAAGUAAAAGUAGGCAGAGCCUGCUACUACGCUGUCAUUAUUAAUAUCACUAGCCACCAUGACUUUAUCUCAUUUAGCUCGUCUGAUUCCUGAACUCAUUCCAUGGGAUGGUGGAUACAGUUUCAUCUUUGCUAAGCCUGUGCUUUCCACAUCCACUGAAUAAACACAAACGAAACCAAUAAUUCUCUGUUGAUCUUUUUCUUUGUGGU